rnacentral:rRNA from 1 species
AGAAUCAACGCUGGCGGCGUGCCUAACACAUGCAAGUCGCACGAGAAAGGGUAGCAAUACCUGAGUAAAGUGGCGCACGGGUGAGUAACACGUGAAUGAUCUACCUCCGAGUGGGGAAUAACUGAGAGAAAUCUUAGCUAAUACCGCAUAACACUUACGAGUCAAAGCAGCAAUGCGCUUGGAGAGGAGUUCGCGGCCGAUUAGUUAGUUGGCGGGUAAUCGGCCCACCAAGACGAUGAUCGGUA